rnacentral:rRNA from 1 species
UACGAAGGGGGCUAGCGUUGCUCGGAAUUACUGGGCGUAAAGCGCACGUAGGCGGAUUGUUAAGUCAGGGGUGAAAUCCCGAGGCUCAACCUCGGAACUGCCUUUGAUACUGGCAAUCUCGAGUCCGGAGAGGUGAGUGGAAUUCCUAGUGUAGAGGUGAAAUUCGUAGAUAUUAGGAAGAACACCAGUGGCGAAGGCGGCUCACUGGUCCGGUACUGACGCUGAGGUGCGAAAGCGUGGGGAGCAAACA